rnacentral:rRNA from 1 species
GACGAACGCUGGCGGCGUGCUUAACACAUGCAAGUCGAACGAAGUGGAGAACGGGUGAGUAACGCGUAAACAAUCCGUCCUUCAGAGGGGUACAACAGUUGGAAACGACCGCUAAUACCGCAUACUGAAGGUGGGGUGUGCGUCUGAUUAGCUAGGUGGAGAGGUAACGGCCCACCAAGGCGAAGGUAAGUAGCCGGACUGAGAGGUGGAACGGCCAAAUUGGGAAUGGGAAACGGCCCAGAAUCCUACGGGAGGCAGCAGUGGGGAAUCUUCCGCAAUGGACGGAAGUCUGACGGAGCAACGCCGCGUGAGGGAUGACGGCCUUCGGGUUGUAAAGCUCUGUUGAUCGGGAAGCGGUACCGAAAUAGAAAGCCACGGCUAACUACGUGCCAGCAGCCGCGGUAAUUC